UUUUCUGUAAUGAGUAGCCUAAUCUAGCUCGCUACUAUUUCCAAACCAGUAAUCAGAUUAAAGUUACUUAUCCAAGUCAUUGUGCGUUACUAUUUUUGUCUUCAACAACCACA